CAAAUAUAUACUGUGUCUGUUACAUUUUACAAUAACAAUGGGUGACUAGGCCCGCAGCAUUUAUAACGAAGGCUUGCGUGCAGGUACCCUGUUGAUUGAUGCACGAAUAUUCAAACCACAAAAGUGUUGAUUUAAAACUGUUCUUUGUUGUAUGUACAAUAGGUUUAAAUAAAUUUAAGGUAACUUAAAACAUAUACAGACAAGAAUAUACAGACAAGUAUUAAGUAAUUAGGUUUAGUUAAUAUACAGACAAUUAAGAUACAAUAAGGUGUUAUGAUUCCUGGGCCGUUUUUGUAUUUCCUGUUUUAUUUUGAAGGACUACCUGUUUCAGCCAGAUCACACCUGUUUCCUAUGUUAUCUCCGGUUCACCUUACACACCUGUCCAUAGUUAGUAAUCACCGCCAGUAUUUAAGCACCACCUCAGCCAGCAGUCAAACGCUAGAUUGUUGCGUGUGUACUCACCUCUUUCCCGCAUUGCCGUGUUAGUUUACCUGGAUCCUGACCUUGUUCCUGAACCUCGUUACUCCUGAUUCCUGCCUGCUCCUUGUCUGUACCUCUGCUACGAUAACCUGACCUGAACCUGCCCGCUGCCUUUGUACUGUCACUGAAGCUUCCUCGUGUAUGAACCUUCCUGACCUGACCACGUUUGUAUCAAUAAAACCUGUCUCCAGCUAAACUACAAUCUUGUCUGACGCUGUGCAUGUGGGUCCGACAUCUGCCUAAACCCGACAAUAAGUCUAACAGCGGUGGGUAUAAAGGAUCCUUCACUGGGGGUGCAUCAGUCUCCAGUGAAGGAGCUGCUCAGAGCCUCCACUGUCUGAUGCAGUGGAUGAGAGGCCCUGUCCAUGAUGGAUGUCAGCUCAGCCAGCGUCCUCCUCCACAGAGUCCAGUGGAGGCCCAGGACAGAGCCGGCCUUCCUCACCAGCUGCUUCAGCCUUUUCCUGCCUGCUCCCCAGCAGACCACAGCGUGGUGGAGGACAGGGGUCUGAUUAUCAGUGUGCGUCCAGUCCAGUCUGUUGUUUAGGUGAACACACAGGUACUUCUCUGUGCAUUGUCUCUACUGUAUGUCUGGCCCCUGGAUGAUCAAUGGUCAUUUACCAUCUCCUUUAUCUUACUGGUGCAUACGCUCAUACCAGUCCACAAACUCCACGAUGUACUCCAGUUCAUCCAACCAGGGUCGAGUCAUCUGAGAACUGCGGCUGAAUAACACCAGGUUUGUAAAGACAUCUGGCCAGAUGAGCGUCCUCCAAUUAGUUGAUUUUAGUUUCAAUAAAACUAGAAAAGUGGGAAAUACA
rnacentral:lncRNA from 1 species